rnacentral:rRNA from 1 species
UACAGAGGGUGCAAGCGUUGUUCGGAAUUAUUGGGCGUAAAAAGCUCGUAGGCGGUCUGUCGCGUCGGCUGUGAAAACUCGGGGCUCAACUCCGAGCUUGCAGUCGAUACGGGCAGGCUAGAGUUCGGCAGGGGAGACUGGAAUUCCUGGUGUAGCGGUGAAAUGCGCAGAUAUCAGGAGGAACACCGGUGGCGAAGGCGGGUCUCUGGGCCGAUACUGACGCUGAGGAGCGAAAGCGUGGGGAGCGAACAGG